rnacentral:rRNA from 1 species
UCGUGGAGUGAUCUGUCUUGGUUAAUUCCGCUAACGAACGAGACCUUUACCUGCUAAAUACAGGGGCCAAUCCCGAUUGGCCCCCUGUUCUUAGAGGGACAGAGUCAGUCUAUGACUCGGAGGUUAAAGGCAAUAACA